rnacentral:rRNA from 1 species
UACGGGGGGGGGCAAGCGUUGUUCGGAAUUACUGGGCGUAAAGGGCUCGUAGGCGGCCAACUAAGUCGGACGUGAAAUCCCCAGGCUCAACCUGGGAACUGCGUCCGAUACUGGAUGGCUUGAAUCCGGGAGAGGGAUGCAGAAUUCCAGGUGUAGCGGUGAAAUGCGUAGAUAUCAGGAGGAACACCAAUGGCGAAGGCAGCUCGCUGGGACGGUACUGACGCUGAGGCGCGAAAGCGUGGGGAGCGAACAGG